CCUACGGGUGGCUGCAGUGGGGAAUAUUGCACAAUGGGCGCAAGCCUGAUGCAGCCAUGCCGCGUGUGUGAAGAAGGCCUUCGGGUUGUAAAGCACUUUCAGCGGGGAGGAAGGCGGUGAGGUUAAUAACCUCAUCGAUUGACGUUACCCGCAGAAGAAGCACCGGCUAACUCCGUGCCAGCAGCCGCGGUAAUACGGAGGGUGCAAGCGUUAAUCGGAAUUACUGGGCGUAAAGCGCACGCAGGCGGUCUGUCAAGUCGGAUGUGAAAUCCCCGGGCUCAACCUGGGAACUGCAUUCGAAACUGGCAGGCUAGAGUCUUGUAGAGGGGGGUAGAAUUCCAGGUGUAGCGGUGAAAUGCGUAGAGAUCUGGAGGAAUACCGGUGGCGAAGGCGGCCCCCUGGACAAAGACUGGCGCUCAGGUGCGAAAGCGUGGGGAGCAAACAGGAUUAGAUACCCCGGUAGUC
rnacentral:rRNA from 1 species